rnacentral:rRNA from 1 species
UCGGCCAGGCGAAUAAUCUGGCUGGAUGACGGUACCCGCAGAAGAAGCACCGGCUAACUACGUGCCAGCAGCCGCGGUAAUACGUAGGGUGCGAGCGUUAAUCGGAAUUACUGGGCGUAAAGGGUGCGCAGGCGGCCCUGUAAGACCGGUGUGAAAUCCCCGGGCUCAACCUGGGAAUUGCGCUGGUGACUGCAGGGCUAGAGUACGGUAGAGGGGGGUGGAAUUCCUGGUGUAGCAGUGAAAUGCGUAGAGAUCAGGAGGAACACCGAUGGCGAAGGCAGC